AGGAACAGUGGAACAGAGAGAAUGUCCAGGGCUACGAGCCUGGAGGCGGGAACGGGAGCCUCUAGGGGAGCCGCUGGAGUGAAAACAGUCAAACUCUGCGCGGAGCAAGAUCAAAUAGGGAAGCAUUAGUAGGACGGCCAGUCCGUAGCUUUCGGGUAAGAUCGCUUGAGGGUGUCAGUAAUGCCACUCCCAGAGGAAUGAUCAUCUACGAUUAUCGGGAAUAAUUAUGGGACCUGGUGAUUGAGACAGAAUCCGGCUUACAGCAAAACCGUGAUC
rnacentral:RNase_P_RNA from 1 species